UGUAUUGUUUAGGGUCACAUUCAGAAUGUGUGGACUGUAGCUCUGAACUUUAGUAUAGGAGCAUGUGUAAGGCUGUUUCUCUAGAAUCAGCGGAAGGACGUGGACACUGAAUAUUGAUCAAGGCAAGAGUGAAACUUCAGAGCCAGGAUACAGAAUUCAGAUCACCACCAAGCUCAUGCAAGUGGCAGUAAACAUCAAUGCCAAACAAGAUGUAAAUAGAGUUUCCACUGAAGUCAUGUAUGAAGCAGCAACUGCCAGAUGCCAACAACUUAUUUACAAGAUAAUUGAAGGAACUGAAAACAUUGGGAAAACAUUGGGCAAUAUAUGGGGAAUUUAUUUCUUAGAAAUAAAAGACAGUUG
rnacentral:lncRNA from 1 species